ACAAGAGUGAGGCGGCUGGUUUGAGAGAACAAGAUGGAGGGGUAUCGACUGAGAGAACUAUGAUUUGUAGUUAGAGAGAAGAGAACUAUGCUUUGGCAUUUGAGAGAAGAUAACAUAAACAAAUGUUAGAGAGAAGAGAACAUAUAUGAGAGACAUGAAACACUUGUCCUUUUUAUAACAAAAUUUUACAAGUCCCGUGAAGUGUAGAGACAAACAAAAUACUAC
rnacentral:lncRNA from 1 species